UGGUCCUCUUCUCGCGAUAAUAUAGAUCCAAAAUGGUGAACUCGUGAAGUGCCAGUGUCUCAAACGCUACUUUCCUCGUUGUCUUCAAAUAAUAUAUUUUAUUGGUUAAUGUACAAUUAUAUACCAGUCUUUCGUGAAGGCUCGUUGUAAAUAGUCUAUGUCUGAACUACAGAGACUGCUGUCCACCGGAUCUCCCCUGCCUGUUGACAGCAGUGUGGCAGGGAUGUCUGCCGGAAUCGCCGAAUGUAAUCCGACCCCACAACCGCAAGCAUCUACCAACACGCAAGGAACCAUUUUGCCCUGUUCAUUCCGUGGCUGCAAGCAGACCUUCUCAAACAUGCAGCAGCUGUCCAGCCACGUGGAGAGCCACAAGAUCCCCACGCAGUCCCUUCCAGGGAAGGCAUUUCGUUGCUCAGCCCUGGGCUGCAGUGGUACUUUUCCCAGCAUGCAACACCUGAUGGAGCACAUGAGGCACCACUACAAGCCUAACCAUUAUUUCCUGUGCGAGAGCUGCAGAGCCAAGCUGCGGUCUUACCGCGCUCUCUUCAAACACCUCCACACUUGCGCCAAGGUGGCCAAGAGCAAGGCUGCCCGGGAGGAAAUUACAUCUCCCGGCGCCAUGACGAUGACGGAAACGGCCGAGACCGCUCUCGCGUACGAAGCCGCGGCUCCUGCCGGUACUUCCGCCAGCAUCCAGACCCCCAUGAAGGAAGAGCCCAUGGAGUUAGAGCCCGCCCCCACAGCCGCCGAGUCCGGCACCUCCGACCGUGCUCCGCCCCUCGCAAGCCUCCAGGCUACCGUCAACAGGCUUCCCCAGGAAGCCCCGCUAGCUCCGCCCACCCCCGUCUCCCCUACCUCCCCCCCGGCCCCUGCCACUCCUCCUGCCCUGCCCCCCGGCCCCUUCUCUCUCAUGGAGACCGCGGCGUUCGCCGCGGAGCCCCUGCAGCCCGGACCGCCCCCCGGCUCCAUCAUCCCUUCCGCCACGCCCCCCUCCCCCCUGCCUUACUCUCCCCUUGCGUCCUCCUCUCCUCCCACCCCAGCCGCCCCCGGGCAGCGCCCGGGCCGACCCGUCGCCCCUGCCUCCCCAGCUCCACCCACCCCGCCGGGCUCGAACGCUGUCUGGAAGAAGAACCAAGACGCGCCCGGGCCCCUAUUGCUCAGAAGGAACAGUCAUCCCAGCAGUCAGAGUAUAAGUGCAGGUGAAGUCCAGGGCAAUCUUUCAGCAGCCGCAUUCUCUGGGAGCACACCAGAGGGCGCUACAGCUGCCUACAGUGUGGCCACUCCACCCCCACUCGGCAGGAGAUGACCGCCCACAUUGAGGGCCAGCACAGGAGCCCGGCUGGGCGGGCACAGACUGACCCGGAUAACAGAGGUUCUCCUCCAUUCCAACCAAAGAUAUCAUUGGAAACAGAGACUGCUGUCUAUACCCAGCUCUGAUUGAAUUUGUCCACUGGGCAAAAUUUUCAAUCUGACCUGUUGUAAAUGUCUGGGAAGGUAGAAUGGCUAAUGUGAAUGUUGAUGGGUUUAAUCUCUCUUAGAAAUCCCUUGAAAGGCAACAUUGAUCAAUGUUUCUCAUGCAGGAAAUUCACAAAUGUCUCUUCUGUGUAUUCACAAGCUUCUAUAUUACUGGCUUUUAGCGAAUGCUAUUAUCCAGAGCGAUUUACACAGCUUUGGCAUUUUGUCUCAGUAUCCAUUUAAUAUAGCUUGGUAUAUACUGAAGAAAUUCAGGUUGAGUACCUUGGUCCAGGGUACAACGGCUGAAUGCUAAAUGAGAGUCAAACCUGCAACCUUCAGGUUACAUGCCUGGCUGUACUCCUUAUAUCCAUCACAUUUUUAUUCUAUGCCAUUUUGAAGCAACUGGGAAUAUUUCAAAAAUACGGCACAAGUCUGCUCAGCUGAAGGUCAUGGACCGAAACGUCGACAGCAGUACAAUUGGGAAGAAACUAUGUGGGAGCAUUUCUUCAUUCCGUUAUACUGUAUACUUUUCUCUCUGAGCACCCCUGAGUGCAUAAAACACAGUCUGAUGAUAUUUUAAGGGAACCUGCACUGGGGACAAACAAAAUAAGAAUGCAGAGAACGGUAAAUGAAGAAUACCUUACUUAGAUCCUGUUUCAAAAUUGCAUACUUGUGUCACCUAUAUUUAAAAAGUGAGAUGCCUUUGUUGAACACAGUGGAGCAGUGCUGUUGGAUUUCAGGCACCCUGGCUUCAAAGUCUCUCUUUUUGAAGCGGACCAUCUCAGUAUUGAGGGGUCUUGAAAUUUGGUACAUACCUGGUGGUGGAAAGCAAGAAACAAGUCAUCCAAAGUAGCUUGUACAGCUGUUUAGGAGCUUCUCAAAGUACAUUGUACAUUCUUGCUUUAGACCACGGACCACCAAAUGCCCUCGUACUUGCUAUUGUAAAGUUGGCAGGCCAUUAGGGACUUCUGUAAGUAUCUAAAAUAUCCUUCACCCAACACAAAAAAAACAUUGGGGCCUGUCAAAAAUACACUAUAACUGAAGUAAUAGCAAAAAAAUCCAGAAAGUGAACUGUCCCUUUAAUUUAGGUUGUAAGAUUAUGCACAUGUAAAGUUGGAGGGAAACCCAAUCUAAAAAAAAUCCAUACUCGUAUAUACACAGUAUAUGUAUGUCUGAUCCUCAACCAUUACAAAACAUUACAAGUUUUGUAUUUUCUACUCAUUUUAAUUUAAAUUAAAUUUUGUAUUGCUGUUUUUGUUUUUAUUGUUUUUAUUUUUAUGGUGGAUAUUUGGUUAAUUUGAGAGUGUAUUGGCCAGUGAGAUCAUAGAUCAUGAGGAUGUGGGGUAAUUCGAAUCACUUGUGUAUUACUACUAGUGUUAGUAUUAAAAUCAAUUGAAUAUGAAUUGCUGAUAUGUAUCACUGUUGAAAUAUCAAAGAUAAAUGAAAGAUGUCAUCAUGUAAAGGAAAUUGUUGAUUGAGCUUUGGGUGCCCCCUACUGUAAUGCAUGCUGACACUUGUGUGUGCCACCACACCUUAAUAAACCCUGAAAAAAAAGACAGUGUAUUAUGUCCCGGGCAAAGGCAUGAGCUCGAU